ensembl:lncRNA
CAACUUUUCACUUGAAACAAGGAUCCUUCUAAGGACAAUUUCCGCACUCAGAACUAAAUCCUGUUAAGCUCAAUAGAACCGAAGGCCUUUUCUUCUUCUUUUCUCUCUCUCUUUUUUUGCAGGUAAAUGUGUUUAGAGCUAGAGAUUAAGUACGGUUUGAGAAAAGAGAAGACACGUGUCUGGGUACAUCCGGGAUACCCCUGUGACUUAGUAUAUCCCUUCAGCGUUCAGCUUACAAAGAGAGGAGACACGUUUAAGGAGCAAAACAGCAACCACGGGCCGCGGAAUUUGAUCAGAUCAUAUUUGGCUGUGUGGCCUGGUCUCUUGGAAUCUGUCAAUUGCACACCAGUUGGGAGGAAAAAGCCCUCCUGCCUUGCCCGCCUUUAAUCGCACUGGUUCCCUACCUUGCCCUGUUAAGAAGGAACCGGGCCUUACACAGGCUGACCCUCCCAGGAAGAGGAAAGGAGGGAGAAUGCCCUGGUCUCCUUUUUUCCCAAGCAGAAAAGCCCCCCAGGUUGCUGUUUCUGGGUGCUGACCCCCCCUUGCCUAUUUUCGGCCCACUUGUUUCAUCAACAAGUUUUAAGAAUAAUUUUCUCUAGCAUCUUUAGAGACGGACUUUUGUCUCUUUCCCCUAUAAGCUUGUCAUACUUUAUUUUAAGACCCGGGAUUAUUUGUUCCAAUAACAAUAGAAGAAGGAAACAUGUUACAUAUAAACACCAAGGUUUAGGGUGCUGUUGCUGACUCUAAAAUUUAACAGGACCAAAGGAAAUACAGUGUGGGAAAUGAAAGAGGCGGCUUUUCCAGAAAAGAAACAAAAUGUAUCAGCUUUAGAUUGGUCAUUUACAGGGCAAAUACAUUUUAAAAGGCACUUUGAGGGGUCUCUUAUAAGGACGGAGCUCCAGGUCCCUAGGUAUGCAUAAGGAUUUAAUUAUACAGUACAUUGUGGCUCAAACUCUUUUACUUAGCAUAGUAAGUCACAAGUCAUGUAGGUUCAUUUAAAUCAAUGGCACUUAUGGAGGAGUUAACUCACUAAAUUCUCACUGAUUCAGUGGGCCUACUUGAGUGCAACUAAGCAACAGGAUUCCAGCCUAUAUGUAAUAUAGUCUAGAAUCUAAUGUACAUAUAUACCCACACAGCAAAUAAGUCAAUACAUUAUGUAUGUAUUGACUUAUUUGCUGUCUGGGUAUAUAUGUACAUUAGAGGACAGCUUGAAACACAUAGAUAGUGUAAAGAACACCAAAAUGUGUGGGUGAAUAUACAGUCAGAAUUCUGGUCUCAAUGAAAACAAUAUAAGGAGUGUGG